GCAACUCAACUAAACAUCAACCACAACACAAAUCCAUAAUCAUAGAAAUAUAUACAAUCACAAAAAAGAUAAUUAUUUACCAUGAGUUCUUAUCCUUAUACAACUUAAACUUAUCAUUCCAUACACAUGAGCGGUCCUUUAAACUUUUACAACACAUAAGUAUCAACAGAUCCUUAACAUUACAUCAGAAGUAAAGUUUACUAUACAACAAAAACCAUCAUCCAACAAAAUUAGCUCAAAAAUCUUCUAGCCUUUCACUGCUUUAACCCAAUUCUAGCUUUUCAGUGCGUGACAAGCUACCCUGAAAAAUUUAUAUAGCAACGGGGUGAGUAUAAAGAGCUCAGCAAGUGU
rnacentral:lncRNA from 1 species